UACGUAGGGUGCAAGCGUUGUCCGGAAUUAUUGGGCGUAAAGAGCGCGUAGGCGGUCUGGCGCGUCGGCUGUGAAAACCCGGAGCUCAACUCCGGGCCUGCAGUCGAUACGGGCAGACUGGAGUUCGGCAGGGGAGACUGGAAUUCCUGGUGUAGCGGUGAAAUGCGCAGAUAUCAGGAGGAACACCGGUGGCGAAGGCGGGUCUCUGGGCCGAUACUGACGCUGAGGAGCGAAAGCGUGGGGAGCGAACAGG
rnacentral:rRNA from 1 species